GACGAACGCUGGCGGCGUGCUUAACACAUGCAAGUCGAGCGGUAAGGCCUUUCGGGGUACACGAGCGGCGAACGGGUGAGUAACACGUGAGUGAUCUGCCCUCAACUUCGGGAUAAGCUUCGGAAACGGGUCUAAUACCGGAUAUGAUGUCCUGCUUCAUGGUGGGGUGUUGAAAGUUUUGGCGGUUGGGGAGUGGGCUCGCGGCCUAUCAGCUUGUUGGUGGGGUGAUGGCCUACCAAGGCGACGACGGGUAGCCGGCCUGAGAGGGCGACCGGCCACACUGGACUGAGACACGGCCCAGACUCCUACGGGAGGCAGCAGUGGGGAAUCUUGCGCAAUGGGCGAAAGCCUGACGCAGCGACGCCGCGUGAGGGAUGAC
rnacentral:rRNA from 1 species